rnacentral:rRNA from 1 species
UACGUAGGGGGCAAGCGUUGUCCGGAUUUAUUGGGCGUAAAGAGCUCGUAGGCGGUUUGUUGCGUCGGCUGUGAAAUCCCGAGGCUCAACCUCGGGUCUGCAGUCGAUACGAGCAAACUAGAGUGUUGCAGGGGAGACUGGAAUUCCUGGUGUAGCGGUGAAAUGCGCAGAUAUCAGGAGGAACACCGGUGGCGAAGGCGGGUCUCUGGGCCGAUACUGACGCUGAGGAGCGAAAGCGUGGGGAGCAAACAGG